CUUAAAGCCAUCUAUAUCAAGUAUCCUUCCUUCAUACAUAUCCUUGUCCUAGGAUUCAGGCCAGGAUCAGUCAUUACCACUACAGAACUAGCUUUCAACUCUUCACAGUCUGUGCCAUCAGACCAUGAUAUCGCAACUUCAUUAUUGAGUAACACAACAGCUGUCAAGGCCCUGAACAUGAGUUCUAAUACUGUCAUGGUUAAUGAUAAAGAAUUUACAAUAGUGACAACCUCUACUGCUCCAACAACAGAAACAACUGUAGUCACAACAACUCUUGUUGGAACAUCCACCAGCAGUUUAGCAGUUACCACUACAGUGCAACCAACAGCUUCUUCAUUGACCUCGACCACUCUCUCCUCAACAGUCUUUGACAGAACAACUAUUAGUACAUCUGAAAUGUCUACAAGACCAACAACAGCAUUCUCUGCCUUCAUGAGUACAGCCAAAAUGUCUACAAGACCAACAACAGCAUUCUCAGCUCUCAUGACAAAUAUCACAAGUGCAGCAAUGUACACAGGACCAAAAACAACAACUUCAGUUUUUACUUCAUUGACUCCCUCUUCAACUACAUUUAAGACUACGACUGGUAGUACAACUAGAACAUCAACAAAAUCAUUUGCCUCAACCAUUAAUACAACCACUGCCUCAACCACUAAUACAACCACUGCCUCAACCACUAA